AACAAACGCUGGCGGCGUGCCUAACACAUGCAAGUCGUACGAGAAAGGGUCCUUCGGGACCUGAGUAAAGUGGCGCACGGGUGAGUAACGCGUGGAUAAUCUGCCCUUCAGUUGGGAACAACUCAUCGAAAGGUGGGCUAAUACCGAAUAACACUGUGAGACUUUGGUCGAGCAGUCAAAGAGAGCCUCUGCUUGCAAGCCCUCGCUGAAGGAUGAGUCCGCGUACCAUUAGCUAGUUGGCAGGGUAAUGGCCUACCAAGGCGACGAUGGUUAGCUGGUCUGAGAGGAUGAUCAGCCACACUGGAACUGAGAUACGGUCCAGACUCCUACGGGAGGCAGCAGUGAGGAAUCUUGCGCAAUGGGGGAAACCCUGACGCAGCAACGCCGCGUGAGUGAGGAAGGUCUUCGGAUCGUAAAGCUCUGUCAGUUGGGAAGAAAUGCCUGAGGGUUAAUACCCUUCAGGCUUGACGGUACCAACAGAGGAAGCACCGGCUAACUCCGUGCCAGCAGCCGCGGUAAUACGGGGGGUGCAAGCGUUGUUCGGAAUUAUUGGGCGUAAAGAGCGUGUAGGCGGCCGGAUGUGUCAGAUGUGAAAGCCCUGGGCUUAACCCAGGAAGUGCAUUUGAAACUGUCCGGCUUGAGUAUGGGAGAGG
rnacentral:rRNA from 1 species